UCUUCUUCUGCCUGCCAGGGACGAAGUCAUUCCUGACAUCAGAUUCUGACACUUUUAUUUUAAGCAGCUGAUCACCUAACUCACUCAAAAGGGAAGACCAGUGAUUUCCAUCAUAAAUAAUGAACCAGAGGACUGAAAGUUUGGCCAAGGAUCAUAGUACCCAGAAACAAAGCUGCAAAAGAUAUAAUCGGGUAGAAUGUUUUGUAUAUAAAAAAAUCAUUAUGCAUUCUAAGUUUAGUCCAUUUGCUUACUAGAGAGCUAAUGCAAGCAACACGGAAUUUGGAGUUCAGGAAACCUGGGUUACCGCCUGAAGAACAAUGAGAUUUUCUGUGUACAGAUAAUGUGCAGCUGGAAACAGCCACACAAUUCCUCAGUGCCGGCCGACUGCUGCCUUUGCAACAGGCAGGAGGUUUCAUUUUCUACCGUAUGUUCUUCCCAGGCAUCUGUUUUUUUUUUUUUUUUUGCAAUAAGCAUCAAGGAAUGAAAAAGCAAAAGAGGAACACAAAAAUAAUACACCUUCCUUAAUCAACUAUCACAAUUAGUCACAGGUGUCAAAUGUCUGAAUGCUGGACUCCAUGAGAAAAUCAGUUCGUUCAUUGCGUUUUUUAAUUAAAGAAAUGUUUCAAAUUUUUGUUAGGAAACUUUUAGAUUUACAGAAAAGUUGCAAAUUUAUGAGACUGUACUUUUUCACCCACCAUUCGCCAUCAUCUUAUAUACACGAUUUGUCAAAACCAAGAAAUCAACACCAGCCCAUUACAAUGAACCAAAACCCAAAUUUUAUUCCCCUUGUUGCUACCUAACAUCCUUUUCUGUUCCAAAACAUCA